AAAUUGAAGAGUUUGAUCAUGGCUCAGAUUGAACGCUGGCGGCAGGCCUAACACAUGCAAGUCGAACGGUAACAGGGAUCAGCUUGCUGAUUCGCUGACGAGUGGCGGACGGGUGAGUAAUGUCUGGGAAACUGCCUGAUGGAGGGGGGUAACUACUGGAAACGGUAGCUAAU
rnacentral:rRNA from 1 species